AGCGAACGCUGGCGGCAGGCUUAACACAUGCAAGUCGAGCGGGCAUCCUUGUGGUGUCAGCGGCAGACGGGUGAGUAACGCGUGGGAACGUGCCCUUCGGUUCGGAAUAACUCAGGGAAACUUGAGCUAAUACCGGAUACGUGCGAGAGCAGAAAGGUUUAUCUGCCGAAGGAUCGGCCCGCGUCUGAUUAGCUAGUUGGUUAGGUUAUGGCUCACCAAGGCGACGAUCAGUAGCUGGUCUGAGAGGAUGAUCAGCCACACUGGGACUGAGACACGGCCCAGACUCCUACGGGAGGCAGCAGUGGGGAAUAUUGGACAAUGGGGGCAACCCUGAUCCAGCCAUGCCGCGUGAGUGAUGACGGCCUUAGGGUUGUAAAGCUCUUUUCUCCGGGACGAUAAUGACGGUACCGGAGGAAUAAGCCCCGGCUAACUUCGUG
rnacentral:rRNA from 1 species